rnacentral:rRNA from 1 species
GAUGAACGCUGACAGAAUGCUUAACACAUGCAAGUCUUUGGCGAAGCUGUGCUUGCACAGCCUAGCCAAGGCGGACGGGUGAGUAACGCGUAAGGAACUUGCCCUGCAGUCAGGGAUAACAGACGGAAACGACUGAUAAGACCUGGUAAAGUCAGGCGGACUCAUGUCCAGCCUGAUGAAAAGAGAUGCUGCAGGAGAGCCUUGCGCCCUAUUAGCUUGUUGGUGGGGUAACGGCCCACCAAGGCGAUGAUAGGUAGCCGGCCUGGGAGGGUGGACGGCCACAGGGGGCCGGGAAACCGGCCCUUCCUCCGCGGGGGGGCAGCGGUGGGAAUUGUUGGACAUGGGGGCAACCCUGAUCCAGAAAUUCUGUGUGCACGAUGAAGGUUUUCGGAUUGUAAAGUGCUUUCAGCAGGGAAGAAAAAAAUGACGGUACCUGCAGAAGAAGCGACGGCUAAAUACGUG